UCAAGAAACUUCCACAAUGGGCGAAAGCCUGAUGGAGCGACGUCGCGUGAUGGACGAAGUGCUUCGGCACGUAAACAUCUUUUAUGUGGGAUGAAAUUAUUGACAGUACCACAUGAAUAAGGGGCUCCUAACUCUGUGCCAGCAGGAGCGGUAAUACAGAGGCCCCAAGCGUUAUCCGGAAUCACUGGGCGUAAAGGGUGUCGAGGCGGUUGUAUUAGUCGUUCGUAAAAUCUACGAGCUUAACUUGUAGGCGGCGAACGAAACGGUACGACUUGAGGUUUGGAGAGGUGCGUGGAACUCACGGUGUAGGGGUGAAAUCCGUUGAUAUCGUGGGGAACACCAAAGGCGAAGGCAGCGCACUGGCCAAAAUCUGACGCUCACACACGAAAGCUAGGGUAGCGAAGAGGAUUAGAUACCCAGGUAGUCCCUGAGCGGGCUGGCAAGGCG
rnacentral:rRNA from 1 species